GGGGAAUUUUGGACAAUGGGCGCAAGCCUGAUCCAGCCAUGCCGCGUGUCUGAAGAAGGCCUUCGGGUUGUAAAGGACUUUUGUCAGGGAAGAAAAGGCUGUUGCCAAUAUCGACAGCUGAUGACGGUACCUGAAGAAUAAGCACCGGCUAACUACGUGCCAGCAGCCGCGGUAAUACGUAGGGUGCGAGCGUUAAUCGGAAUUACUGGGCGUAAAGCGAGCGCAGACGGUUACUUAAGCAGGAUGUGAAAUCCCCGGGCUCAACCUGGGAACUGCGUUCUGAACUGGGUAACUAGAGUGUGUCAGAGGGAGGUAGAAUUCCACGUGUAGCAGUGAAAUGCGUAGAGAUGUGGAGGAAUACCGAUGGCGAAGGCAGCCUCCUGGGAUAACACUGACGUUCAUGCUCGAAAGCGUGGGUAGCAAACAGGAUUAGAUACCCUGGUGGUCCACGCCCUAAACGAUGUCAAUUAGCUGUUGGGCAACUUGAUUGCUUAGUAGCGUAGCUAACGCGUGAAAUUGACCGCCUGGGGAGUACGGUCGCAAGAUUA
rnacentral:rRNA from 1 species